GAAAAAACGGUUUGUUUUCAAACGUUCUGUCGUAGUGUGCGUUUCGGAGGAAGAAUUUGUGUUGGUAAUCAUUUUCCCGGCCUGAGCGUACGCAUGCGGAAAAUGGGUGAGCUCCCAGAAAUCAUUGCGGAACUGUAAUGUGCGUACUUCGCAGUCGUCAUUCCUCUUGAGGAAACAAAGCUAUUCGGAGCUUCUAAUCUUGGAUUAAAAUUGCACAGUUGACUAUUCAAUGUAUAUUAGACUGAGCAUGUGCAACACAAAGAAAUCUCAGGAAACGGGAGAGCAAAUAAUGUGGAUGAAAUGUACUGCGAUAUGGUCCCAUCAACUGCAAACUAAUCAGUUGUUCCUGUCCUAAAGGAUGAAAAUGUGCAACAGUAAAAGGAGCAAAACCUUGAUGAGUGAGGGUUUGAAAAAAUAUAUGAGAUUGAUUCGGUCGAGGCUGCGAUUAAAUCUGCACGAGCAAUAUUUAGAUGUAGAA